rnacentral:rRNA from 1 species
GACGAACGCUGGCGGCGUGCUUAACACAUGCAAGUCGAACGGAGUGGCGAACGGGUGAGUAUUACGUGAGUAACCUGCCCUCAACUGUGGGAUACUCCUGGGAAACUGGGUCUAAUACUGCAUAGUUGGGGAUGGGCUCGGGGCCUAUCAGCUUGUUGGUGGGGUAAUGGCCUAACAAGGCGGGGACGGGUAGCCGGCCUGAGAGGGUGGUGGGCAAAGUUGGGACUGGGAUACGGCCAAGACUCGUACUGGAGGCAGGAGUGGGGGAUAUUGCACAAGGUGCGCAAGCCUGAUGCAGCGACGCCGCGGGAGGGAGGAAGGCGUGCGGGUUGUAAACCUCUGUCGGUACAGAAAGGGUAUGUGCAGAAGAAGCGCCGGCUAACUACGUGCCAGCAGCCGCGGUAAUUC